UGCCCCCUGGCCCAGCUGGUUAAGGUGCAAGACUGUUAAGAUUCCUCUAGGUUUUCCAUUCAAUCUUGAGAUCGUGAGUUCAAUCCUCAUGGGGGCAG